rfam:Phlebia centrifuga strain FBCC195 PHLCENscaffold_1177, whole genome shotgun sequence.
UGCCCCAUGGCUUAGUUGGUCAAAGCGUCCGACUGUUAAGUUACGUAACACUUACGUAAUCAACUCUCAAUCGGGAGAUCGAGAGUUCAACCCUCUCUGGGGCAG